rnacentral:rRNA from 1 species
AUUGAACGCUGGCGGCAGGCCUAACACAUGCAAGUCGAACGAGUGGCGGACGGGGGAGUAAUGUCUGGGAAACUGCCCGAUGGAGGGGGAUAACUACUGGAAACGGUAGCUAAUACCGCAUACCAUCGGAUGUGCCGAGAUGGGCUGAGCGAGUAGUUGGGGUAACGGCUCACCUAGGCGACGAUCCCUAGCUGGUCUGAGAGGAUGACCAGCCACACUGUAACUGAGAAACGGUCCAGACUCCUACGGUAGGCAGCAUGGGGGAAUAUUGCACAAUGGGCGCAAGCCUGAUGCAGCCAUGCCGCGUGUAUGAAGAAGGCCUUCGGGUUGUAAAGUACUUUCAGCGAGGAGGCGUUACUCGCAGAAGAAGCACCGGCUAACUCCGUGCCAGCCGCCGCGGUAAUAC